GUGAGGAAUAUUGCGCAAUGGAGGCAACUCUGACGCAGCCAUGCCGCGUGCAGGAAGAAGGCGCUACGCGUUGUAAACUGCUUUUAACCGGGAAGAAACCCCAGGACGUGUCCUGGGUUGACGGUACCGGAGGAAUAAGCACCGGCUAACUUCAUGCCAGCAGCCGCGGUAAUACGAAGGGUGCAAGCGUUAUCCGGAUUCAUUGGGUUUAAAGGGUGCGUAGGCGGAGCGUUAAGUCAGUGGUGAAAUCCUGCAGCUUAACUGUAGACUUGCCAUUGAUACUGGCGCUCUUGAGUGCGCUUGAAGUGGGCGGAAUGUGCCGUGUAGCGGUGAAAUGCUUAGAUAUGGCACAGAACACCAAUUGCGAAGGCAGCUCACUAAGGCGAUACUGACGCUGAGGCACGAAAGCGUGGGGAUCGAACAGGAUUAGAUACCCCUGUAGUCC
rnacentral:rRNA from 1 species